rnacentral:rRNA from 1 species
AGAUUGAACGCUAGCGGGAUGCUUUACACAUGCAAGUCGAACGGCAGCGCGGACUUCGGUCUGGCGGCGAGUGGCGAACGGGUGAGUAAUAUAUCGGAACGUGCCCAGUAGCGGGGGAUAACUACGCGAAAGCGUGGCUAAUACCGCAUACGCCCUACGGGGGAAAGGGGGGAUCGCAAGACCUCUCACUAUUGGAGCGGCCGAUAUCAGAUUAGCUAGUUGGUGAGGUAAAGGCUCACCAAGGCGACGAUCUGUAGCUGGUUUGAGAGGACGACCAGCCAACACGUAGGACUAGACGACGACCCGGACCACGUACC